rnacentral:rRNA from 1 species
UACGUAGGGGGCAAGCGUUGUCCGGAGUUACUGGGCGUAAAGCGCACGCAGGCGGUCUUUUAAGUUUGGAGUGACAGUUGGUGGCUUAACUGCCAAAGUGCUUCGAAGACUGAAAGACUUGAGGGCUUCAGAGGACACGGAAUUCCGGGUGGAGUGGUGGAAAUGCGUAGAGAUCCGGAGGAACACCAAAGGACGAAGGGCAGUGUCCUGGGGAGUACCGUGACGCUCAGGUGCGAAAGCCAGGGGAGCGAACGGGG